rnacentral:rRNA from 1 species
AUUGAACGCUGGCGGCAUGCUUUACACAUGCAAGUCGAACGGUAACAGGCCGCAAGGUGCUGACGAGUGGCGAACGGGUGAGUAAUGCAUCGGAACGUGCCCAGUCGUGGGGGAUAACUACUCGAAAGAGUAGCUAAUACCGCAUACGAUCUAUGGAUGAAAGUGGGGGACCGUAAGGCCUCGCGCGAUUUGAGCGGCCGAUGUCAGAUUAGGUAGUUGGUGGGGUAAAGGCUCACCAAGCCAACGAUCUGUAGCUGGUCUGAGAGGACGACCAGCCACACUGGGACUGAGACACGGCCCAGACUCCUACGGGAGGCAGCAGUGGGGAAUUUUGGACAAUGGGCGCAAGCCUGAUCCAGCAAUGCCGCGUGCAGGAAGAAGGCCUUCGGGUUGUAAACUGCUUUUGUACGGAACGAAACGGCUCUGGUUAAUACCCGGGGCUAAUGACGGUACCGUAAGAAUAAGCACCGGCUAACUACGUG